AAUCAACGCUGGCGGCGUGCCUAACACAUGCAAGUCGAACGCGAAAGCCCCGCAAGGGGUAAGUAGAGUGGCAAACGGGUGAGUAACACGUGGGUGACCUGCCUUCGAGUGGGGGAUAACGUCCCGAAAGGGACGCUAAUACCGCAUGACAUCCUGCUUUUGAAAAAGCGGAGAUCAAAGCUGGGGAUCGCAAGACCUAGCGCUUGAAGAGGGGCCCGCGCCUGAUUAGCUAGUUGGUGAGGUAACGGCUCACCAAGGCGACGAUCAGUAUCCGGCCUGAGAGGGCGGACGGACCCACUGGGAAUGGGACACGGCCCAGACUCCUACGGGAGGCAGCAGUGGGGCAUUGUUCGCGAUGGGCGCAAGCCUGACGACGCAACGCCGCGUGGAGGACGAAGAUCUUCGGGUCGUAAACUCCUGUCGAGCGGGACGAACGCUUCGCGGAUGAAUAAUCCGCGGAAUUGACGGUACCGCUAAAGGAAGCCCCGGCUAACUCCGUG
rnacentral:rRNA from 1 species